CACUGUGGUGGAUUCCUUGAUUGGGAAACAAUAACAUGGUUUAUGUGCUCGUUCUGGGUAAAUAGAGUUUCUAGCAUUUAUGUUAGUUACUUGUUCCCCGGAUAGUUUAGUUACGUAGCCAAUUGUGGAACUUUCUUGCUAAAAUUUUUAAGAAUACUAUUUGGGUUAAACCAAUUAGUUCUUAUCAAUUAUAACGAUUAUCAAUUAACAAUCAAUUCAGAACUGGCACGGACUUGGGGAAUCCGACUGUCUAAUUAAAACAAAGCAUUGUGAUGGCCCUAGCGGGUGUUGACACAAUGUGAUUUCUGCCCAGUGCUCUGAAUGUCAAAGUGAAGAAAUUCAAGUAAGCGCGGGUCAACGGCGGGAGUAACUAUGACUCUCUUAAGGUAGCCAAAUGCCUCGUCAUCUAAUUAGUGACGCGCAUGAAUGGAUUAACGAGAUUCCUACUGUCCCUAUCUACUAUCUAGCGAAACCACAGCCAAGGGAACGGGCUUGGAAUAAUUAGCGGGGAAAGAAGACCCUUUUGAGCUUGACUCUAAUCUGGCAGUGUAAGGAGACAUAAGAGGUGUAGAAUAAGUGGGAGAUAUUAGACCUCGGUUUGGUAUCGUCAAUGAAAUACCACUACUCUUAUUGUUUCCUUACUUACUUGAUUAAAUGGAACGUGUAUCAUUUCCUAGCCAUUAUACGGAUAUAUUUAUUAUAUCUUAUGGUAUUGGGUUUUGAUGCAAGCUUCUUGAUCAAAGUAUCACGAGUUUGUUAUAUAAUCGCAAACAAAUUCUUUAAUAAAACGAUGCAUUUAUGUAUUUUUGAUUUGAAAAUUUGGUAUAACUCCAAUUACUCAGUAUGAUCCAAUUCAAGACAUUGCCAGGUAGGGAGUUUGACUGGGG
rnacentral:ncRNA from 1 species